rnacentral:lncRNA from 1 species
GGAGAUUUACGGUUUGUAUUACUAUAAUUUGAAUUUAUUUAUUUUCAAUUGUUAAAUUUCAACUAAAAUACUUGGUAAGUGAAAUUGAGGUGAGUAUUAAAAUAUUGCAUUGAAUAAAAGUGAAUGAAAUGAAUUGAAUCGAAGUGAAAUCAUCUGAACUGUAUAUUGAUUAAAAAGUGGAAAGUGAAAUUGAAUUGAAUUGUGAUUGAAUCGAAAGUGAAUUUGAAAUAGAAAAAUG